rnacentral:lncRNA from 1 species
AAAAAUUCUUUUCCUUCUAUCGACUAUCUCUUCUGUAUAUCUAUAUUCUUUUCAUCACCCCCACAAUAAUAAUAAUAAUAAUAAUAAUAAUAGUAAAGCCUUGCCCCAUUUUAAGUAUUAUAAUCCCGGGUCACUGAUGCCCUGUCCGACUGACGUAGGGCCCCGUAACGUAUGUCAAGGCUCUGCCUAAAUUCAUUGGGGUUCUGUCUGGUGACGUUGGGAUAAAGUAGAAUUGGGUUACUAUACUUAAUGUGAGUGCACUAUAUAUUUUAUUAAAUAAUCCAGGAGUUUUACCCAAAAUAUAACAACCCUCCCGAAUAUUUUUCUGACACCAUAAUAUAUUUUAAAAUAUCCCAAUAGGUCCCAAAAUACACCCCAUACGCGAAAACGGGCUCCGAAUACCCUAAAUAAAUUUAAUUAAAAAUAUGAAAUUUAAGUUGAGGCGGGCCGCGUAAGGUACCCCAUAACCCUUACGCGGGCCGCGAGAGGCUAAAAAGGUGGCGCAGCCCGGUGCGGCCACGUGGCCCAACACCCGGCGAGUCUAUAAGCUGAACCAGCCAAGCUACGCAUUGACCUGGGGUCAACGCGGGCCGCGUAGGCCCUGCUCUUGUGUUACGCGGGCCGCGACAAGGUCAAGAUCAGCACCUAUAUAUAGAAUGCAUCGGAUCUUCAGUUGAAUUCGUUCACAAAUAUGUUCUUUCUGUCAAUUCUAAAGUAUUAUAACCAGGGAAUCACAAAGGAAAGCCCUAUAAUAGCAAUGUAACUUAGUGUGAAACCAAUAAAAGCCGGCUGGAGAGCACUGAAGGCUUGGAAAAGUGGCAAUAAAGUUACCUCAAAUAAAAAUAGAUGCUUUUAUUAUAUAAAAUAGGAUUUCUUCCUAUGAAAAUGUGUGUACUGCAAACGUGGGUUUUUCCCAUGUAUUUGUAUUUAUAAAAUAUGGUGGUUUACUCUGAUAAAAU